UUAGGGCCCGUUUGGUUGAUGGUAAUGGGCUAGAAAAGAAUGGAAUGGAAUACUAAUGGGCCUGAUUCUUUUGUUUGGUUGAAAAAUAACAAUUUUGGAAAAGAAUUCCAUAGUAAUGCUAUUCUCCCAAACUAAUGGAAUUGCUUUCCAUUUUUCAUUCGGUGGAAUUAUAAUUCCAUUCCACUACUUUGACAUAUCAACAAAUUAUCUCUCUUCUACUACAGCCAUGGCCCAACCCAACAAACCCUAACCCUAGCAAGGUGAAGAUUAAUCUGCCGCCAUUGUUGUGAGGACUGUCUUCUUCGAUCAUCUCUGCAAGUGCUGGGUUCCUUGAUUGGUGGUAGCAUUGUCAGAGUCCAAGACAUAAUGAAUGAAAAGCAUAUGCAGCUCGGGAAAGAGUUAGAAAGGAUCACUACACUUACUACAACUCAACGUCAUAAGGUAGCUCUCAUGAUUAUGCAAGAUAAUGCUCUGAUUUCUUACUUUUUCAGUGUCCCAGAUGAUGAGAAGGAUGAAUGGGCGAGACUUCUGAUUGAUGGCUCUCUUUAGUACACAGCUCGGGAAAGAAUUAGAAAAAUCAUGGUUAUUCACUUUGGUCUAAAAUAAUUUGUAGGACAAUAUAUAUUGCCUUUGACAUUCAGUAGUAUACAAAUUAUAAUUUUUUGGAUCUGGUGUAAUGUGUUAUGCUCAUAAUUUUACAAACAAUUAUUUUGAGCAUAAAUAUGGGUAUUGGACAUGAAUACUUAUACUUUUUAAAAUUAUGAUUAUAUAGUUUUUUUAAAAUUAAAA